rnacentral:rRNA from 1 species
CCCUACGGGAGGCAGCAGUGGGGAAUAUUGCACAAUGGGGGGAACCCUGAUGCAGCGACGCCGCGUGGGCGAUGGAGUAUUUCGGUAUGUAAAGCCCUAUCGGCAGGGAAGAAGCUGACAGUACCUGACUAAGAAGCCCCGGCUAACUACGUGCCAGCAGCCGCGGUAAUACGUAGGUGGCGAGCGUUAUCCGGAAUGAUUGGGCGUAAAGGGUGCGUAGGCGGCCUGCUAAGUCUGGAGUGAAAGGUACCGGCUCAACCGGUACAGGCUCUGGAAACU